UCCAGGACCUUUGGCUUCUAAAGCCGUGAGAAAAUAAUUUUCUGUUGCUUAAGCCAGCUGCUAUAUGGUAUUUUGUUAUGGCAGUCCAAGCUAACAUACAGAAGGAACGGAGUUUCAUUACGAUUUGUCAUGUACCUUUAUUUAUAGGCAUUGAAAUUACAUCCAGACCUGGAAAAUAGUAAUUCUCAAUAUAUGUGUGUUGAAGACCAAUAGAUGGUAGGAGUGUGGAAGAUUAAAGUUUAGAGUCUCCAGUGAAUCCAUGCAGCACCUUACUUAUCCUGAGUUAAUUUUUCAGCAGCACCAAACUAUAGCGCCAAGAUCAAAAGGCUUUGGAAGCACAGCCUAAAGUUUGAAGUCUUCCUCUUCCACUUAUUGGCUGACCACAUCUUGGUUUCCUUACUUGAACAAGGAGGAUGAUGAAAAAUACCCUUCAGGGUUAUUACAAGGACUAGAAAUAACACAAGAAAAAUACAUAGCUCAAAAUAAAUGCUUGUUAAAUUA